AUGAACGCUGGCGGCGUGCCUAAUACAUGCAAGUCGAGCGAACAGACGAGGAGCUUGCUCCUCUGACGUUAGCGGCGGACGGGUGAGUAACACGUGGAUAACCUACCUAUAAGACUGGGAUAACUUCGGGAAACCGGAGCUAAUACCGGAUAAUAUAUUGAACCGCAUGGUUCAAUAGUAAAAGACGGUUUUGCUGUCACUUAUAGAUGGAUCCGCGCCGCAUUAGCUAGUUGGUAAGGUAACGGCUUACCAAGGCGACGAUGCGUAGCCGACCUGAGAGGGUGAUCGGCCACACUGGAACUGAGACACGGUCCAGACUCCUACGGGAGGCAGCAGUAGGGAAUCUUCCGCAAUGGGCGAAAGCCUGACGGAGCAACGCCGCGUGAGUGAUGAAGGUCUUCGGAUCGUAAAACUCUGUUAUUAGGGAAGAACAAAUGUGUAAGUAACUAUGCACGUCUUGACGGUACCUAAUCAGAAAGCCACGGCUAACUACGUG
rnacentral:rRNA from 1 species